GCCGCUUGACCAGGUGAGACAGCAGAGUGGCGAACAACCGCGGACACUCUCGGACCAAGAUCGGACAACUCGUAAUGCGUAGGUCUCGGGUUCGAAUCCCGAAAGCGGCUCCA
rnacentral:tRNA from 1 species